rnacentral:rRNA from 1 species
GACGAACGCUGGCGGCGUGCUUAACACAUGCAAGUCGAACGGAAAGUGCCCAGCUUGCUGGGUGACGCGAGUGGCGAACGGGUGAGUAACACGUGGGUGAUCUGCCCUGCACUUUGGGAUAAGCCUGGGAAACUGGGUCUAAUACCGAAUACACCCUGCUGGUCGCAUGGCCUGGUGGGGGAAAGCUUUUGCGGUGUGGGAUGGGCCCGCGGCCUAUCAGCUUGUUGGUGGGGUGAUGGCCUACCAAGGCGACGACGGGUAGCCGGCCUGAGAGGGUGUCCGGCCACACUGGGACUGAGAUACGGCCCAGACUCCUACGGGAGGCAGCAGUGGGGAAUAUUGCACAAUGGGCGCAAGCCUGAUGCAGCGACGCCGCGUGAGGGAUGACGGCCUUCGGGUUGUAAACCUCUUUCAAUAGGGACGAAGCGUGAGUGACGGUACCUAUAGAAGAAGCACCGGCCAACUACGUGCCAGCAGCCGCGGUAACAC